AAGUCGUAACAAGGUUUCCGUAGGUGAACCUGCGGAAGGAUCAUUAAUGAAACGUUUGUCGAGAAGGGUUGUUGCUGGCCUCCAGGGGCAUGUGCACGCCUUGAUCGCAUCCACCUCUCACACCUGUGCACAACCUGUAGCUUGGGAUGAUUACGGGACCCUUCACGGGGUAACGAAUGCCCUCGCUAUGAAUAUUUUACACACACUAUAAAGUUUAAUCGAAUGUAAAGUUAUAGCGUCUAAAAGCGCGAAAAAUACAACUUUCAGCAACGGAUCUCUUGGCUCUC
rnacentral:misc_RNA from 1 species